rnacentral:misc_RNA from 1 species
GCACCGGAGAAAUAUAUAAAGACGGACGUGAGCAAUGAUGGAAUUGCAGGUUCAUUUACAGGCAUCUUGGAGCUCAACUCUCAAGGGAAAUAAAACACCAUGGCCACCCAUUAUUCUUGGGUCAUAGCCGGGAAUUCUUUAAUAUGCCCAAAAGGCCGGGUCGCUUUAUAACCAUGGAGGUCUGCCCUCAAGCCCAAUUAGUCACAACUUAGAAACU